GUCUUUUGUCUUUUUAGGACUGUACCUGCAGCAUAUGGAAGUUCCCAGGCAAGGGGUCUAAUUGGAGCUGUAGCUGCCGGCCUACACUACAGCCACAGUAACACAGGAUCCGAGCCACGUCUGCAACCUACACCACAGCUCACGGCAAUGCCAGAUCCUUAACCCACUGAGCGAGGCCAGGGAUUGAACCCGCAACUACAUGUUCCUAAUUGGAUUUGUUUCUGCUGUACCAUGACAGGAACUCCUCAACUGAGGUUUCUGGUGCAACUAAAAUAUUGUAACCAAAUAGAGAUGCAAACAGGAACUUUGAAAAAAAUGUUGUGUGGUUAAAUAAGUUUGAAGAACCAGAUUAAGCAAAGUUAGGUGAGCUUUUUUUUUUUUCUUCUUUGCAUGAGUUAGAGUCCUUUCCGUAUAUGCUAAUGUAUAACGUGAAACUUCUCGAGGAGAAUAUCUCAGUUGCAUUUCCAGGAAAGGUUGUCCCCAGAAUGCUUUUAUCGUGAGACAUGGGUCAGCCCUGGGAUGUGCUGUGGAGCCUGAUCCCUACUCUAUAAAUCUUGGCUUUUAACAUGAGAUGUAAAUUAACAGUUAAUACACACUUAGUGAGGAAGACAGUCAAGAGAGGGGGUGAGAGUUUCAGUUCCCCAAAUUUUCCCCGCAUGGUCUGUGAAUUUCUCUGAGGGAGGCCCCAUGUCAAACAGACCAGACACAAAUGCUAAUUGGAAUUUGGUACAAAGUCAUUCCAGGAAGCCCAGCGGAGGGCAGAGAACCACAGCAGGGCAGGGCUGGUGGAGACGAUGGGGGUUCUAGGCCCGGGGGGUGGGGGCGGUGCUGCUUGUCUUUCUGGGUGGCUCCAGGCAAAGGCCUUCUCCCCGGACCUCAGUGUCUCCUCUGAAAUGUGGGGAGAGGACCAGUUUGUCAGUGACGUUCUUCCCAGCCAUCCUAAGGCCAUAGUCAGGGCCCGGAUGUAGGAUAAGCCUUGUGAGCACACGCCCUCUGUGCUAUCCUAGAGCAAGAGGGAGAUGAAUAAGACUGCUAGCCCUACCCUCUAGGAAGGAAGCAAUUGUCUAAAGGUGUGUGUCUGUGUGUUGCAUAUAAUUAACAGGCAAUUGGAGGCGAGUUAAAGGGUUUUUUUUUUUUUGGUCCAUACAUGCGGCAUAUGGAAGUUCCCAGGCUAGGGAUUAAAUCAGAGCUGCAGCUGUGGCCUACACCACAGCCAUGGCAACACCGGAUCUGAGUCACAUCUGUGACCUACACCACAGCGUGCAGUGUACUGGAUUUUCAACCCACUGAGCAAGGCCAGGGAUCAAACCCGCAUCCUUACAGAGACAACAUUGGGUCCUUAAGCUGCUGAGCCGCAACAGGAACUCCAAAACAAAAGGUUUGAACCUAUCUGUUCACCUCUUUCUAGCACUGCUAGUCCUAGAAUGCUGAUCCUGAGGCCACAUCCAAGCUCGGGGCCGGGGGUUGGAAAGAGCACCCUGCUGGGUUAGUGUCAUCUGCCAGGGACGGCAGAGAGGGGCAUGUCUGCCUAUUUGUUCAGUCCUUGUAACACAAUGUGAAUGGAAAAAGGAGGGGUGAGCACGGGGCUGUGGGAGCCAGAAGGAGAACCCAGCCUGGGGUAGUUCUGGAGAAGAGCGCUUUGACAGAUGAAUGGGAGUUCGCCAGGUACAGAAAGGUGGGAAGAGGACUCCAUGCUGUUGCCAUAUUUUUUUCAGACAGGCCUGCCUCUCUCUCUCUCUAUUUAUUUAUUUUCACUUUUUUUUUUUUUUUAAGGGCCACGCCCGAGGCACAGGGAAGUUCCCAGGCUAGGGGUCGAAUCAGAGCUGCAGCCACUGGCCAUGCCACAGCCAGAGCAAUGCGGGAUCGAAGCCGCACCUGUGACCUCCCCCACAGCUCAUGGCAACACCAGAUUCUUAACCCACUGAGCGAGGCCAGGGAUUGAAUCCAGAUCCUCAUGGAUACUAGUCAGGUUUGUUACCCCUGAGUCACAAAGGGAGCUCCCAGAAAGGUCCUCUCUCUUGCCCUUAGUGGGGUGGAUGGAACAGGGUGGGAUGGAGGCAGAGGCACCAGCAAGGGACCCAUGACAGCCAGCCAGGCAGGGGCGGCUUGCGCAGAAGGAGAGGGAGGGAACAAGGGAGCGAGCAUGUUGGGGUAUCUUGGAGAGGCUGUCCACUUCCUCUCUCCAUGAAGAUUUAGAGGGAGAGGGGGACUGCCUGGUGCUGCAGGCACCAGCUCCCUCAGAUGAACAUGCUCUUGACCUUUGCUGAUUCUGAGUAAACAACUCAGCUUUGCAGCUGUGGAGCUGGGGCUUUGGCAGAGCAGACCUGAGCCUGCCUCCCCAGCCACGGCUGCCUGGGGGCUAGGAUCCUGCCCUACCCAGCACCCCAGUGCUGGGAGAGUGUUCUUGGCAACCAGUUACCCAGCAAGAUUAGUGAGAUGCCCCUGGAGGAGGGGCCAAGUGGGCACCUUUGUUUCUGCUUCUCUGGGUGGGGACCCCCUGAAAAGGCUUGUGAGGGGCCCUAACAACAGCAGCAGUAACCAUGACUCUCUUGGCAUCGGCCCAGCCUUUGAAAUGCACCCUGCAUCUAAAGCCUGCCAUCACCUCCUCUGCCAUCACCUUCAUUCCAGGUGCCCUAAUUUCACCAGAGACUUCCCACUGGCCUCCCAGCUUCCACCUGGCCCUCUCUGGUCUGCUCUCCAGAAGCCAGAGGGAUCCCGUCACUCUUCUGACCAAAAUCCUCCAACAGACACCAUCCUAGUCACUGUUAAAGUAAACAUCCCAACAUGACCAUCUGCUUCCCUCCUGGUGGCCCCCACCUCCUCUUUACCUCUCUGAUCUUAUUUCCCAUUGUUCAAGAUCAUUCAGCUCUGGCCUUCUGGCUUUUCCACUAGCUGACUGUGAGCAUUCAUGCCCCAGGACCUUUGCACCAGCCAUGCAUUCUCUCUAGAAUGCUCUUUCAGGUAAUCACACGGGUCCCUUCAUUGCCUCCUUUAGACCUUUGCUCAAAUAUCACCUUCUUAUUGAGGCCUCCUUGUACCGCAUCUAAAAUCGCAUCUCCCUCCACUUUUCCUGACCCCCUGCUGUGCUUUUAAUCCACAGGUGAUAUCGCCAUUUUGCAUAUUAUCUGUUUUACUUAUUUAUUAGUCUGACUCUUCCCUAAGCUGUAUGUUUCAUGAUUGCAGGGACCUUUGUUCUCUUGAUCACUGUUGCGAUCCUAGUCUGAAAAUACUAUCUGAUGCAUAUGAGGAGCUCAAAACCCGUUUGUUCCAUGAGUGAAGGAAUGAUACCAUUGAGCCUCACGUGUCUGGCAUUGGGCUUCCACCGUCUUAAUAAAUCUAGGAAGCCCGCACUAUGAAUUUUUAUUUUCAGUUUGGAUGAUUUCUCUUGCCCCAUUACCAUGUUCACUUUUCUCCCUGGGUAGAAUCUGUUGACAAUCUCAUCAUAAGACUUCUUUUUCUCUGACAUCAUAGUUUUCUUUUUUAGCGUGGCUUUAGCAUUUCCAGCCGGCUUCUUUUUAAAACGUGUCCUUCUCGCUUCCUAAAUUCCCCAUCUGUUUAUGCAUGUUGUUCACCUUUUCCACUAGAUCCUUUAGUCAACUUAGAGCUACUUUAAAGGCCUUGCUUCAUAGUAGAUGAGCAUGCAUUGAGUACAUUUAUCGUGUCGGGCACGGGGCUAGUGACUUUUAUCUCUUCAAGUUGAUUCAGAUAAGAAACUUGAAGCUCAAUAACGGGAAGUGACUUGCCCUAAGGUCCCCUGGCCAGGAAGCAAAGGCACUGGGGUUCCAACCCCAGGUGGACAGUUGAACUUUCGUUCUAACUAACACUGUUACUCCGCCUUCAGCCAUGAGCUCUCCCAGAGCCCUGGACUCAGCUCGCCAAUUUAUCCACAAAGAAGGAUCCAGGUGGCCUGUCCCCAUGGCACUUCACUGUGGCCAGGUCUCUGAAUAAUGGAGUGAGCUCAGUUUCAAGCCCCUGUAUUUGGCCUUCCAGACCCCCACCAUCUGGCCCCAUCCACCUUCUCCUCCCAUCCCUAGGGCUUCCCAGCAGGGCGCCAAGCUGGUCCCCUCUUCUGCCAGAAUCGCUCUCCACCUUUUUCUCAGCCCAUCACUCCACCCCAAACUUCAUUCUUUUGUCUCUUGUUCAUUGAUUCACUUAUUUAAUAUAUACUUGGUAUAUUUAACUCCACAUAUUUACCUCAGUAAAAGAGACGUGAUCAAAGAUUGCAGCUUCUAGAGCCAGACAGCCUAGUGAGAACUCUGGUCUCUCUGCUUACCAGCUGUGAUUUCAGUAAGGGAUUCAUCUCCCUGUGCCUCGAUUUCCUCAUCUGUAAAGUGGAAAUAAUGGGAGGACCUAUCUCAGUACACUAAUCUGAGGAGUUAAAGAAUUAGACGACAUAUGAGUAUAGGGCCUGACAGUCAGCCAGCUCUCAGUAAGUGUCAGCUGUCACUAAGAGCGAGUGCUGUGAUGUGGACACAGAGGUGGCUCAGACAUGACUCUACCCUCCGAGAUCCCUCAAUCCCAAGGGGUAUCAGACAUAUAAGCCCAGUCCCUAUGGUCAAGGCCAGAGAUGGCUCCCGCACAGGCCCAGGACUUGCCUUUGCUUGCCUGUCUAGCCACUUGGCCACUCAGAGGAACAGAGUCACUGGGCUGUGAAAAGUCCAGCUGGCCAGGCCCUGGUGGGAGUCCCCUCCUGCCAGUCCUUCCCCCAGCCCCCACCCCAGCCAGCACAUUUGCUCUCAUUGGCCAGAGAGGAGGGUAAGCUCUGGAAAGGCAGGGAUAAGGCUGAGGCUGAGUCCACAGACAGCUACACAGACAGGACACGCCCUCAGACAGACACACACACACACAUGCGGACAGAGCCCUAAUGUAAUAACACCUCACACGUUGUUCUUAGCAUGUGCCAGGCACUGUUCCAAGCAUUCCAUAUGGAUUAAUUUAUUUGAUCCUCACAACAGCCUUGUGAGGUACAUUGUAUUAAUAGCCCCAUUUAACUGAUGGGGCAAGUGAGUCAGAGAGGGGUUAGGCAAUUUACCAAGUUCAUACCAAAUCGGUGACAGACCCAAAUCCCAACCCAGGGAGUCAUACUGCAGAAGCAGAACUCUUAACCAUGCCUACGCCCAGACACGCAUACGCAUGGCACACACAGCUUUAGACAUGCGGGCACAGAGACAUGCCCCUUUUUGGACGUGGCGUCUUCUAGAAUGCAGAAACACAAGGGCAGGACGAGGAUGCCCUCUCCCUCACACCCCCCUCCCCGGACAUGAAGGGCUAAGUAUUUAACUCGAGACCCAUGCACGGCUGCGCAGGAACACACGGGCUCGUGCAGGCUGUGUGCACACAUGCCCCCUCAACACACACGCAUAUGGAAACAACAGUCACAUGAUUCUUGUAGAAACUUGCAGCAGCCCCAGGAGGAGCAGCAGCCCCAGGAGGAGGGGGGCUUCACCUGUGUGAUUCCCCAGUGUGCCCGGCGUAGCACCCAGCACCUAACAUGAGCUUAAUCCCUGCAGCUUCCCGCCUUAGGACUAGGGGCCCUUUGCCCCCCUUUGCCGUUAAGAGUUCUGACUUCAGAGUGAGACAGGCUGCCCUCCUACUUGCCAGGCAAGGGAUUUCACCUUUCUGAGCCUGCCCUGGAGCCCCCAGCCGCAGCUGCCUCCUGCUAUGCUCCAGCACACCAGGGACGGGAUGCUCUGGCCCCAGGGCCUUUGCACUUGCCUUUGCCCCCACGGAUCCACAGGGUUCCCUCCUCCCUGGCCCCUUCAGGUCUUUACCUCAAUGUUAUCUUUGGGGUUGGGGGGGGGUUGCCUGGUCUCCCUCCUUCAAUUGCAGCUGCUCCUCCAUUUCUCUGCUCUCCUGCUUGCUUUCUUUUUCUUUUUUCUUUUUUCUUUUCUUUUUCUUUUUCUUUUUCUCCUCCUCCUCCUCCUCCUCCUCCUCUUCUUCUUUUGGCUGCUUUCAUGGCUUGUGGAAAGUCCCAGGCCAGGGAUUGAA
rnacentral:lncRNA from 1 species